AUUUGGUCAGGAGUCCGAGGGGAGAGUAGAGACUCCGGAUUGGACAGGAACAGACUUGGGGCGGAGAUAUGGAUGCAAACAAGGGACAAGGGCAGGAUUGGAGCAAUCUUGAGCUGCACACAGCUUCCGAUCAGCCAGUUUGGGCAUGGAACGGCCUGUGACAGUAGACCCUGGAAAGGCAGUCAGGAAGAGGAUGACACCAAGGAGCACUGGGGAACACGCCAUCAUGGACUAUGGAACAACAGUGACCAGGUACAGAACCAGAGGAGCUAAUGUGGAAAACCACCUUGGAAUUUCCUGUGCUGAGGGGCAGAACAAGGCAACCUUUUGAUUACCAGGACAGGCCCACCUCUCAGAUGAUCCAGUGAAUACUUUAUGUUGGGCCUCGGGCUAGACGGAUAUUCUGCAUCACCUCAGAAAGGACUGUGAUAACCCCAUGUGCAUGGAAAUGGAAGUGCAGAAAGUUAAGGAACUUGGCCCCUGCAAGAUGGUACACAUCUGUAAUUCCUAUUAACUCACUGAAGCAAGAGGAUU